AGACCUGAAAGUAUUUUUGUUGGUUGGGAAACCUUUAUCAGUCUAAAACCAUUCCUUUUAAUUUUGUAAUUAUUGAUAAAAAUAACCAAACAACAAGCU